GACUUGGGCUCUGAAUUGACUCGGAUUUGACUUGGUAAAUAGAUUUACUCUAUACUCAAAGCUGGCAACAAUAUUCAGAUUGAUCAGUCAUGGGUGACCAUGUGAUCUUCAAGGUCUCUGGGAACAUCAAACACCACAUCGCACACACAACAAACGUAUCCAACACCAGUUGGUUCUGUCGAUUCCAGUUCUUGACAUAAAGCACAUUGAUAGUUUCCAGCAUUACCAUGUUGCCUUGCCAAAUGUUGAACCAAUAUCAUGAAGCCAGACGAUUGUUUAUUACAUUUGUUACAAACAUACUUUCCAGUGUUUCUAUCCUCAACAAUAUGUUCUUGUAAUUCUUGCGGUCGGAUAAUCUCUCUGCCGCAAGUGUGACACAACAAAUGAACCUUCUUGUGGUAAUUAAGACUACUUGAUUGGGAAAAUUGUUUCUUGCAAAAAUCACAUUCAUAAGGUUUGUCUCCUGUGUGUGUUCUUUUGUGUUUAGUUAGAUUUCCUGAUUCUCUAAAUCUCUUCUUACAAACAUCACAUUCAUGAGGUUUGUCUCCAGUGUGUGUUCUUUUGUGUGUAGUUAGACUACCUGAUUGCCUAAAUCUCUUCUUACAAACAUUGCAUUCAUAAGGUUUGUCUCCAGUGUGUGUUCUUUUGUGUGUAGUUAGACUACCUGAUUGCCAAAAUCUCUUCUUACAAACAUCACAUUCAUAAGGUUUGUCUCCAGUGUGUGUUCGUUUGUGUAUAGUUAAAUAACUUGAUUGUCUAAAUCUCUUCUUACAAACAUCACAUUCAUAAGGUUUGU